rnacentral:rRNA from 1 species
GACGAACGCUGGCGGCGUGCUUAACACAUGCAAGUCGAACGCUGACGCUCAGCUUGCUGGGUGGAUGAGUGGCGAACGGGUGCGUAACACGUGAGUAACCUGCCCUCUUCUUUGGGAUAACGCCCGGAAACGGGUGCUUAUACUGGAUAUUCACUGAUUCUCGCAUGGGGGUUGGUGGCAAGGUUUCUUCUGGUGGGGGAUGGGCUCGCGGCCUAUCAGCUUGUUGGUGGGGUGAUGGCCUACCAAGGCUUUGACGGGUAUGCGGCCUGGGAGGGUGACCGGGAACAUUAGGAUCGAGAUACGGCCCAGCGUCAGACGGGAGUAGGGAAUAGUGAAUAUUGCACAAAGGGCGGAAGCCGGAAGCAGCGGCGCCGCGUGAGGGCUGGAGGGUUUCGGGUUGUAAACCUCUUUCGCUAAUAGUCAAGCCGCAGUUUUGGGUUGUAGUGAGGGUAGUGGGUAAAGAAGCGCCGGCUAACUACGUG